rnacentral:lncRNA from 1 species
UCUUACAUCCUCAAGCCUUCUCCUCACUCUUCUUCUGGCUGUUUCCAUUCUUGGUUUCAGUUCAGCCAGGAAGCUCAGUGAGUCAGAUUCCCAGUUACAGUUCCAAUACCACAGAGGACCUCUCCUCACAGGCAAAAUCUCCGUCAACCUCAUUUGGUACGGCAACUUCAAACCUUCCCAGAAAGCCAUCGUCACUGACUUCAUCACCUCCCUCUCCUCUCCCAAACCCCUCACACCCCAACCAUCGGUUGCCACGUGGUGGAAAGCCACCCAAAAAUACUACAAAACCUCAUCCCCCAAACUCUCCCUCUCCCUUGGCUCUCAGAUCCUCGAUCAAAACUACUCCUUCGGCAAAUCACUCACCAGCGAUCAAAUCCUCAAGCUCGCAUCCAAGGGUCCUCAGAGAAACGCCAUCAACGUGGUUCUCACGUCUGCUGACGUGGCAGUGGAAGGCUUCUGCUCCAGCAGGUGCGGGACUCACGGCUCCUCCAUGGGGGCGCGCGUGAACGGGAAGAGGUACAAGUUCGCUUACGUGUGGGUGGGUAACUCCGAAAGCCAGUGCCCGGGGCAAUGCGCGUGGCCAUUCCACCAACCCAUUUACGGUCCCCAGAACCCAGCUCUGAUUGCGCCGAACAACGAUGUUGGUGUUGAUGGCAUGGUCAUCAACGUGGCUAGCCUCUUGGCUGGCACUGUCACUAACCCUUUCGGGAACGGAUACUUCCAGGGACCCAAAGAGGCUCCUCUCGAAGCUGCCUCCGCCUGCACCGGUGUCUACGGGAAGGGCGCCUACCCUGGCUAUGCAGGGAACCUCUUGGUGGACCCCACAACCGGUGCCAGCUACAACGCCAAUGGUGUCAACGGAAGGAAGUAUCUUUUGCCAGCUCUCUUUGACCCUAAAACCUCUGCUUGUUCAACCAUAGUCUAAAACCACCACUCAGCUUUCACUUUUCACCCUCUUUAGCUGUUAGGCAACACGAACAUUCUUUCAUUUCUUCAUUCAUUCGGCCAUGAUACAAGAGAAUUAUAGUGUUAACUAGUACGAUGCUUAGUUAUAAUAAACUUUUAUAUUGAGAUGUAUUAGAAACUAUAGCACAAUUAUAUUAAUAAUAUUUUGAUUGCUUUUUAUUUUAAUGAGUGUUUGCAGAAAUUAUAGCUGUCCACUUUACAAACAUGAAUAACUAAAAAGGUAGCCAACAGAAAACCUAAAUAAAUUUUCCCCACGGAAAAUGAGUUAAUAAAAAAAUAUACAUGUUUCAAAAUAAAGUAAGAAAAAAAUUAACCAUUACAAUGGCAACCACAUCAUUUAAAAAGCACACAAUCAAAUAUGAAAGCUUUUUUUUUUUAUCAUAUUGGGCUAGAUUUAAAACCUUAUUAUCAAAAUGAUGGGAUAGAUUUUUAAAACAUUGCGAGUUUGGAGAGAUAGUAUAAAUGUUACAUGACUUUAUUACUUUAUUGUGAGAAAGUAAUCAAUGACAAUUUUUUAUCACAUAAAAAAAAGUUGUGUUAAUGUGAUAAUUUUAGUCUAUGUUAAGUGGUGUUAAGGUGAUAUAAUUUGAAUUAUAUGUAAUUGACACGAUUUUAGUAAUAAGUAUAAAGUUAUCUCAACCUAACAUGAUUUUGGUUAAUAAAUUUUUUUUAAAGUUACACUUUAAGUUUUAUCACUUUAAUAAGACUUGAGUUUUAGUAUUUUUUUUUUUAAAAAAAAGUGUUUAUUUCUUUAUUUUUUUAAAAAUGGAAUUAUUAAUUUAACAAAUUUUAUAAAAUUAAGAAAAAAAAAUAAUUGAAAAAUGGUGUUAAAACCCUAAAUAUAAAAUGUAAAUUAAAAGCUUAAAAUAUAUAAAAAUGCCAAAAAAUAAUAAAAGUUAAACGGUUUAUUUUUUGAAAAUUUUGUAAACCCAAUUCUCCUUCGGAUAUUGGUUGUUGCAUUCCUUAUCUCAUUUUUAACGCGUUUCAAUCUGAACUCUAUCAAAAGUUAAGAUCAUAUGAAGUUUUUUCAUACAAAACUUUAUAAAAAUCAUCAAUUUCUUUCCUAUCCUGAUUUCUUUUACAAAAAUUUCUUAAUUUUAUACAAAUUUUCAAAUUAAUAAUUCAAUUAAUUAUUUCAAUUUUUUAAAAACCAAAAGAAAACAAACAUUUUUUUCAAAAAAUAAAUUCAGUGAAAUUGAAAGUGUAUCCUUAAAACAAAAUUCGUUAAUCAAAAUCGUACCUCCUUACAACAACUCCACUUUGAUAUGGUCAAAAUCAUGUCACCUAACAUGACUUACUGACAAUGAAGUCGUGUCACAUUGACACAACUUCUUCCAACUCAUAAUUUUUAAAACCAACCACAUUUCGAUAGUAAGCAUGUAAAAUUGUCCUAACAUAGUAAAAAAAACAAAUUAUGAAUAGUGAAAUUUUGUCUAAAAUGACUUUAUAAAAAGAUCGUACAACUUUGUUGAGAUUUGUAGUAUAACUUUAAUAAUUUUAAGUUUUUUUUUUCAUUAAAGGUAGAAGUUAUGUUUGUAAACAUCAUCUUAAGGUUUUUUCCUUUCAAAAAUGGAAUUAAAACAUGAUUUUAGAAUGUUUAUUUUUAUUUUAAAUUUAAUUAUAAAAUUCAUGAUUAAUACAUCAUUUCGUUAAUCUUCUUUACGUCACCUUCAGUGAAAACCAACUCCACAUUAGAACAGGAAAUCAACCAGAGAGAGUGUUCCUUGAGUAGUGAUCAACCUGAAAAAUGCACGUGGUUUCGAUUUCAAAAUGAAAACAUACUAUUGUUCUGCAAAUAAACUAAUCAGAAAAAUGAAAAGCAAUCUUGAGAAACUAAACAGAAGAAAGGAAAGAUAGAUGGAGCUUCAACUAAGAGAUGAAGAUUUUCUAGGGCUUGAGAUGCCUCCUCCGAAACUACGAAAGUGUGUAAAAAACAUUAAUGCCUCAUUCGAAACGAAACUGAAAAUAGUGGGAAACAAAAAACUUUCCUGCGACUCAAUAAAAAAUUGUGGAGAGAUAUCAGGAUUUUCCAAACAUCUGGUACUUGCGUGUUUAAUGAAGGUUAUUAUAACCUCUAAUAAAAAACCCCUCUUAAAAUUAAUUUUUUAGUGAUUAUUAACACAAAUUUAGUUUUUGUUUUCUAGGUUUUAGUUGACUUCAUGUUAGUAAGCACAAUUUUAAUAUAUUGUAAUACAUACUAAAUUACAGUAUUUGGAGUUAAUUUUUUGUCAUGUUUAGAACUUAAAAGUACACAAUAUUAUUGAAUAGAUAUAAAAAAGUUAUAUAUGAGAGUUUGUGUUAAUAUUUUUUGUUUUUAUUUUUGUGUGAGUAUUGUUUUUGUUAUAAUUCUUAUUAGGUAAGUCUUUGUUGUGUUGGUGUGGUAAGUGCUAGAAUAUUACGUGGAGGCUUGAAUUUCCUUUUCUAUGCUAUGACCAUGUACGUACUUUUUGUUAUUAUUAUCUUCCAUCAGUGUGGUUCUAUUAGUUUAUAAAUGCCUUUGAAUUGUGUACUUGGUAUUUUGUCAUGGAAGGGAUGCCAAAUAUAUUUGAUCGAGAUGGAAUAAUAUUAUACCUGUAAGGAACUUGUGAAAAUUGAUAUUUUCCAAGCUGGUUGUGACGAUAAUCCAUACAUUCAUAUAAUGGAAAAGGUUGAAAACUAGAGUAAUCCAUCAUAUUGUUUUUGAUGUAGAUGUAUAUUUGAUGAAGAGCCAACAAUUUUCCUCUAUUUUUUUAGUAUUGAGUGCUAAGGAUUUGUUUUUUGUUUUUCUAGGCAUCAUGCUAAAUAACCUUUUCAUGAACUUUAAAGAUCCAAUGAGCUCCUCAAUGUAAGCGCUAGAGGUCCAUAAACGCUAUUUGGGCUAUUUCUUGAGAUCUUCAUGAAGUAAGCACAAUUUUUAGAAUACUCUUCCAAAGGAGUUAAACUUCUUUAUAAUGACUUGGAAUCCGCAAAAAAAAAUGCUUGAAUGUUUUCAUUCUCCUUCAUGUUAAACAACUUAUAUUGGAGAGUCAAAAGAAUAACUUUAUUUCUCUUACUUCGUGUGUAUAACUAGUGUGUUCCACAUCUUUACACAUUUAAGUGCAUGAAUUUUUGCAUAUUCAUCUUUAGAGAUGUCACACAUGAGUAUUAGACACAUAGUUUUCAUUCUGUUAUUACAGUUACAUAUCACUGUUAUAUAUACAUGUAUCCCAUGCAUCCCAUGCAUCCUUCUCAACACAAUAACUUAUAUAUUCAGAUAUACUUUUCUCUUUCUCCUUUCUUUUAACAUGGUAUCCAGAGCUACCUCUUUUCCAUGACCUCUUCCGCUACCUCUCCUUCUACCCCUCCUUUAUCACCUUCUUCCUCUAUUUCUUCUCCUCCUUUGUUGCCAAUGGCGUCUCCUUCCUUACGCCAUUUUUCUAGUCCGAUUACCCUCAAACUUACAACUGAAAAUUUUAUGAUUUGGAAACAACAAAUUUUUGCUACUUUUCGUGGUCUUGAUCUCCUACAUCUCCUUGAUGGUACUCAUAUUCCAUAUGAGUUUCUCCCAUCUAAUGAUCAGGAUCAAGAACCCACCAUCAACCCAUUUUUUCUCCAUUAUCAUAAGCAAGACCAGUUUAUCGUCACCUGGUUGCUGGCCUCCAUGUCCUCCUCCAUCUUAACCAAAAUGGUUGGUUUAGACUCUUCUGCUGCUAUAUGGACACACUUAUCCACAUAUUACGCCUCCCAUACAAGGGCCACCAUCAAGAAACUUUGCCUUCUUCUUCGCACACCCAAGAAUUACAGAACCGUUGCAAACUACCUUUUUGAUAUCAAAAAGACUGUUGAUUCUCUAUCUGCCUUUGGUGCUUCCAUUUCUAACGUCGAACACAUAGAUGUCAUUCUUAAUGGUCUAUCGGAGGAAUAUGAUGAUUUCAUCAUUGCGGUUCUCUCGCGUUCUGAUCCCUACACUGCUGACGAACUGGAGUUUUUACUCCUUGCUCAAGAAGAAAGGUUUGAGAAACAUAAACUCAUUCAAAAUUCCGUCAUUCAAGCCAAUUAGGUUUCCACGCAAUGGUUUUCACCUCGUCCCACCAAGAAACCCAAUUUUCACACCAAAUCUUACUACGGUGGUCACAACCAGAGUCACCCAUCGUAUCCAAACUUUGUGCCUUUCUUUUCUGGACCAAGACCUAUCACUCGUCCUCUUUUCCGCCAUUCUGCACCUUGGAAUUCAAGUAAACCCCAUUGUCAUAUCUGCCACAAACAAGGGCACACUGUUGAUACCUGCUGUCAUAGGUAUGAUCCUCCUAUUGCUUGUUCGAUUACAGCUAACAUUUCUCAAUCUUCCAUCUCAGUCGGUGAUGAUUCUGCUCCAUCUAUUCUGGGUGCUCCAUCGACCAUCAAAGAUCCUCUUGGUACCCCAAUAGUGAUGCUACCAACCAUGUCACUAGCGACCCAUCUGUUUUUCACAACAAAUUAUCAUAGCUCCGAAUCUUUAAAGGUUGGCAACGAUCAAGGUAUGAAUAUUAUACACACUAGCUCUACUUUCUAUAUUGCACCACACACACACAUAAAGUUUCUUCUACAUCAUCUGUUACACGUACCACAUAUCACCAAAAACUUGAUUAGUGUUGCUCAAUUUACAAAAGAAAAUAAUGUUUAUUUUGAAUUUUAUCCUCACUCUUGUUUUGUUAAACAUCAGGACACUCAUCAGAUUCUCAUUCAAGGAAUAGUUAGAUAUUGUCUAUAUGUUUUUCCUUCUUCCCCUGAUUCACUCUCUUACACCGCUAAUCAUGCUUCAUACAAACCGAAUGUUCCUCCCUUACAACUCUAGCAUAACAGGCUUGGGCACAACAGUUUUGCUAUUGUUCAGCGUGUUUUAAAAUCUUGUAAUAUACAAUAUAACUCUCAGACUCAAUUUUGUAAUGCAUGUGUGAUCGAUAAGACACACCAACUUCCUUUUCAUGCUUUUGUUAACAGUUACACUCCACCUUUACAAUUGGUUUUUGGGGACCUUCACCUGUAUGUGCCUCCAAUGGUUCACGCUAUUAUAUCUCUUUCCUUAAAUGAAAGGGGGUCACCAUUUUCAAUAUCAUCUAUGGCCUCCCCUUGUUUUUUUCCGUGUAAAAUGACAUACCAAUGUUCUGACAUAGGAUCUUUGAUGUAGAAAACCUGAGAUGCUUGUUGAACCAUUAUAAAUGGCCCAUCUCGAUACCCUAUCUUUCGAAAGUCCACUAGUGUGAAUCCUGAUUCAGCAAUAAAUGGAACAGAAAACUUACUAUAGCCAACCUCCCAUAUCUCUUCUAUAAACUCAUAGUAUGCCAUUGAUCCAAGUACAAAAUUUGUAUCUUUCGAAGUGGAAAAUUGCAUUGACUCAGUUUCAAGAGUAACACUAGAAUUUUGAACUGUAUUCUUUUCAUCCAUAGACUUCGUGUAAAAUAUACAAUUGUUUACUUUGUACGCAGUACAAGAAAUGACAACAAACUUCAAUCCAACAACCAACAAGGUCAAGGUCUCUGAUGUCGUUGAAUCCUUUAACACCUCGUCUUUAAACCAAGGCAUGAAAGUUCUAUUAUGUUCCAUCAAGACCCAUUUCUCUGCUUGUCUUGGUUUAUAUGCCUUCAUAAUGGCUUUAUGAGCUUCUAUGUAAGGUAUAACUUCAUCUGUGUUAUUGUUGAACAAGCUGCUUUGAUGUCUUCAAAUCCAAGAGGAAAGCUUGAAGCCCUUGCUGCUGGGUGUGUGUGUGUUGUCUAGUUGUUUGAAACUUGUUAAUUCACUCCUUAAGUCGAUCCAAGUUCAUUUGAAUCUUAAACCUUUUGAAAAGAUGUAUCUUCUAAAAGGCUGUCAAAAAUUCAACAGGUUGUUUUACCUUAGCUGUUUUUGAAAAACUUGGUUGACUUUGUUGUCAAACCAAAACAAUCGAUUGUUUCGACAAAACAACCGAUUGUUUUCCUGCAAGCCUUAACAAAAUUCUGUUAAGCGGUUUUAAUAUGUUUUAAAUGAUCCUAACUAACUUGGCUCCUUUAUUAAAUGCUUUUGACCACUUGGUGGGUCUAUAUAAAUGUGGUUUUACGCUCCUAAUCUUGGAGUAACAGAAAGAGUUUAUCAAAACAGUUUUUCCAAGAUUUGAAAGAGCUUUGGAUCAUUCUUAAGUGUGUGGAAUAGGAUUGGGUUGUAAUUCUGAACUUUAAGCUUUGUAAUACCCAGGUGUAUUUUAUUCCUUUCUUCCUUGAUUACUGUAUUUCUGUAGUUGUGUUGCCAAGGAGUGUUGUGUGUUCUUGAGGUGUUCAAGAUCAACAUUCUUGGUAUGGUUUGCCAAAGGUAGUGUGUUUCAUGAGGGGUUCAAGGUCACCACUGUGGUGUGUGGUGUUUGUAAUCUGGUUUUGAUUGCAUAGUGGAAUACCCAGUGGUUUUUGGGGACUGGAUGUAGCUCUUGGUGUAAGAGUGAACCAGUAUAAAUUGCUUGCGUGCUUAUAUCUUACCCUUAACUCUUUAAAUUUUGUUUUUAAGUUGUUUUUAUAAACUGCUCAUAAAAACAACCAUUUGUUUCGACAAAACAACCGAUUGUUUUUCUGAUAUCAUCUUAAAACAGUUUUGGUUCUUUGUUUUCUUGAUUCUUUUCUCUGUAAUUCAGCAUUGAUUUUUCAUUAUACCUUCAAAGUUUGCAAAAAUCCCUCUUAAACAAUUCACCCCCUCUCGUUUAAGGCCAUAUAUUCUAACAAUUCAAUAUAUACAAAUGUGCUUGCAAGACUUUUGAUCGAGAUUUGCUUACAAUAUUCACACCACGUAAACAUUUACUUGUAGAACGCUUGUGGUGCCAUGAAUUAGCUGGAAGACCUAUUGGAUUUUCUUUUGACAUGUACUCUGAACAAAAUUGAAUACUUUCUUCAGCUAUGUAGUUUUCAAUCAUUGAAGCUUCUAGACGAUAAUGAUUUUUCACAUAACCUUUCAAACUUUUCAUAUACUGCUCAACAAGAUGCAUCCAUCUUAAGUACACUGGUCCACACAAUCUAACCUCUCUUACCAUAUGCACAACUAGAUGAACCAUGAUGUCAAAAAAAGAUGGAGGAAAAACCAUCUCCAAUUCACACAACAUAACAACAAUUUCAUCUUCAAGUUCAUCUAGUUUUAAUGGAUCAAUGACUUUACAACAGAUGAAAGAGAAGAAUGAGCACAAAUGGGUUAUGGUAUGUCUAACAUUUUUUAGUAAGAUCCCACGAAUAACUACCGGUAGCAACUGUUGCAUCAAGAUGUGGCAAUCAUGAGACUUCAACCCAAUUAAUGUCAAAUCUUGCAUUGACACUAGGCUCUUCAUAUUUGAGGAAUGUCCUUGUGGAACUUUCACACCUUUUAGACAUUGAAAAAAACUUAUUUUUUCAUAUUUUGACAUGGUGAAACAGGUUGGGGGCAAAUAUGUACACUUACCCAUUUCUAUGGGUGCCCGCUCGCAUCUUAUGUUCAUCUCAAUCAAAUCUAAACGAGCAUUUAGACCAUCCAUCAUCUCAAUCAUAUGUUAAGAAGUGUACCAAUUAAGUUAUCACAUACAUUCUUCUCAACAUGCAUUACAUCUAUACAAUGGCUAACUUCUAACCUCGACCAAUAGGAAAGAUCAAAGAAGAUUGAUUUUUUCUUCCAAAUGUUUGUCACAGAUGACUUUUUUUUCGACUUAUCGAAGGUAUGAUCUAUGUUAUUUACCUUUUCGUACCACAACACCGGUUAAUAGAGUUGGUGGACUUGUUGAACAAGAUGCUUUGAUGUCUCCAAAUCCAAGAGGAAAGCUUGAAGACCUUGCUACUAGGUGUGUGUGUGUGUUGUCUAGUUGUUUGAAACUUGUUAAUUCACUCCUUAAGAUGAUCCAAGUUCAUUUAAAUCUUUAACCUUUUGAAAAGAUAUGUUUUCUGAAAAGCUGUCAAAAAUUCUACAGGUUGUUUUACCUUAGCAGUUUUUGAAAAGGUUUUGAAGAACUUGGUUGACUUUGCUGUCAAACCAAAACAAUCGAUUGUUUCGACAAAACAACUGAUUGUUUUCCUGCAAACCUUAACAGAAUUCUGUUAAGCGGUUUUAAUAUGUUUUAAAUGAUCCUAACUGACUUGGCUCCUUUAUUAAAUGCUUUUGACCACUUGGUUGGUCUGUAUAAAGGUGGUUUUACGCUCCUAAUCUUGGAGUAACAGAAAGAGUUUAUCAAAACAGUUUUUCCAAGAUUUGAAAGAGCUUUGGAUCAUUCUUAAGUGUGUGAAAUAGGAUUGGGUUGUAAUUCUGAACUUUAAGCUUUGUAAUACCCAGGUGUAUUCUAUUCUCUUCUUCCUUGAUUACNNNNNNNNNNNNNNNNNNNNNNNNNNNNNNNNNNNNNNNNNNNNNNNNNNNNNNNNNNNNNNNNNNNNNNNNNNNNNNNNNNNNNNNNNNNNNNNNNNNNGUUGUGUUGCCAAGAAGUGUUGUGUGUUCUUGAGGUGUUCAAGAUCAACAUUCUUGGUGUGGCUUGCCAAAGGUAGUGUGUUUCUUGAGGGGUUCAAGGUCACUACUUUGGUGUGUGGUGUUUGUAAUCUGGUUUUGAUUGCAUAGUGGAAUACCCAGUGGUUUAUGGGGACUGGAUGUAGCUCUUGGUGUAUGAGUGAACCAGUAUAGAUUGUUUGUGUGCUUAUCUCUUACCCUUAACUCUUUAAAUUCUGUUUUUAAGUUGUUUUUAUAAACUGCUGAUAAAAACAUCCGAUUGUUUUCACUAAACAACCGAUUGUUUUUCUGAUAUCAUCUUAAAACAGUUUUGGGUAUUUGUUUCCUUGAUUCUUUUCUCUGCAAUUCAGCAUUGAUUUUCAUUAUACCUUCAAAGUUUGCAAAAAUCCCUUUUAAACAAUUCACCCCCCAUCUCAUUUAAGGCCAUAUAUUCUAACAAUUGGCAUCAAGAGCUUGGUUCUUGAAAGUUAUUCAAGUUUUGAUCCUAAAUCUUUGUUAAAUGGUUGAAAAGUUUUCUUUUGGGGAGGGUGCCUGUUUAAGCAAACCACCUUUGUUCUAUGGUAUGAAAUAUGAAUUGUGGUGCAUAAGAAUGAAAUUCUUUGUUGAAUAUAUAGAGAGAAAAAUCUGGAAUGUUAUUACAAAUAGCUAUCUCAUGCCUAUAUCUGAAAAUGUUUCUUCUGAAAGAGAACAUCUUGAUUGUGUAGUUAUGAACAUCAUUGUAUCUGCACUUGAUUCUAAUGACUUUCUCAAAGUUUCAGAAUGUAGUUCUUCCAAAGAAAUGUGGAAUACCCUUGAAGAGUAUCACAAGAAUCCAAGGAGUGCCUUGAUGGACAAAGAAGAAUCUUCUGCUGAAUCUUUCUCUUCAAAAUCCAAAAAGGAGGUUUGGAUCAAGUCAAGCAAGAAGGAAAAGAAAGCAAAAUAAAAAAGAAGCCAAUCUGUGUUUGAUGGCCAAAGAAGAAGAUGAUGCAAGUAGUGUAAGUUCUUGUACUUCUUUAAAUGCUGAAAAUUAUAGUAAACUUCUUCAAGCCUUUAAUGAAACUCAUAAGGAAGCUAAUAGGUUGGCCCUUUUAAAUAAACGGUUGAAAGGUUUAAACAAAUCAUUGGAAAAUAGAGUCAAGACUUUGGAAGAAGAGUUGAACCAUUCAAAAACAGAUUUUGAAAGUUUGGAAAUGAUUUACAAAAACUCUUCUUGCAAGUGUGAUUCUAGCUUUUGUGAAAAUUGUGAAUCACUUGAAAAGAAAGUCCACUACCUUUUAAAAACCAUGGACAAGUUUUCCAAAGACCAAUCCAAUCUUGAAACUGUUCUUGCUUCUCAUAAAUGUGUUUUUGGCAAGGCUGGGUUGGGGUUUAAUCCAAACAGUAAGAACAAAGCUGUUUCAAAACCCUUUUCAAGUUUCUUUGAAAAACAACCUGUUUUAUCGAAACAACCGAUUGAAAUUUGUCAUUACUGCAUGAAAAGGGGCCACACUAUUAGAUUCUGCAAAGUAAAAAGGUUUUCUGUUCCUAAAGGUAUUUUGAAAUGUGUUCCUAAGGUUUCUAAGGUUCCUACUAACAUCAUUGGACCCAAAUUCAUAAGGGGACCAAAUCUUGCUUCUUAAUCUUUUGUUGUAGGUAUCCUUGGCAGCCAAGAAUCAGUUUUGGACUUGAAGAGUGACUGCUAAAGGGAAAACCAUCAAAAGCAAAGUUUGUCUAUAUGCCUGUACUUUCAAUUGUAUAUGUCUUGCAAGGUUCUUUGAAUGUCAAGAGACAUCCUUGGCACAUGCAUAGUGUUGAUCAAAAGAGAAACCUCAAAGAAAGUAUGUGUGUUUGAUGAAAUCAUUCAUAGUGGUCAAAGUUCUACAAAGGUUUAUGUAGAAGAAGAUGAGCAGAACAUCAUUGGAUGCAAAUGGGUUUUUCAUAAACAAGUUGUAUGAAUCUGGAGUAAUUACAAGGAACAAGGCAAGGCUUGUGGCUAAAGGUUAUAAUCAAGAAGAAGGCAUAGAUUAUGGUACAACCUUUGCUCUAGUUGCAAGAUUAGAGGUUGUAAGGUUGUUGUUGGCCUAUGCUUGUUUGAGUGGAUUCAAAUUGUUUCAAAUGGAUGAUAAAAGUGAUUUCCUUAAUGGAAUCAUCAAUGAGGAAGUCUAUGUUGAAGAACCAUCGGGCUUUGAAGAUCAUCAACAUCCUAACCACGUAUACAAGCUGAAAAAGGCCUUGUAUGGUCUUAAGCAAGCUCCAAGGCAGUGUGAAGAAAGAAUAUUUCUACCAAAUCCACCUCUUGAGUAAUCAUUUGACCAACUUGAAUUGCUGGAUGAAGAAAAGAUAAGGGGAGAAAUUGUGGUCUCCUUGCUAAAAAUUUUGGGGUCUAUGGUACUUUGAUUCUACUGCUAUCAUAGCUCUGAUACACCAUAGAUUUUUGCUGCAAUUUUGAUAUGGUAUCACAGGUUUGUUGCUGCAAUAGUGUUGCUACACAUACUGGUAUUCUGGUUUUUCUUAAUCCUGAUUUUAUCCCUUCUUUCAUUCUAUUUGAGAAGACAAAUAGGGGGAGAAUGGUGUGGUUUUAUGUGUUGUAUUAUUGCAGCUACAUUUGGUGUUAUCUGGUUUUAUCAUGAUUUAAAUUCUGCUAUUGCCAUGCUCUUAUUCACCAUAGUUCUGUUGCACACAAGUCUCAUUUUGGCACUAGUUUUUAUGGUUAUUUGACUAGUUUUUCUGCUUAAAGACUUAUGCAGAAAACUGGUUUUGUGUGCCUUGGUAUCCUGCUAGUAUACUUGCUUUGUAUAUGCACAAAUUCUGUUUUGUAGGACCUUUCAAGUUCAAAAACAACAACACAAACAAACCAGGGAUUUGUCUUCAUCAAAUAGGGGGAGAUUGUUGAACAAGAUGCUUUGAUGUCUCCAAAUCCAAGAGGAAAGCUUGAAGACCUUGUUUUUGGGUGUGUGUGUGUUGUCUAGUUGUUUUGAAACUUGUUAAUUCACUCCUUAAGAUGAUCCAAGUUCAUUUGAAUCUUUAACCUUUUGAAAAGAUGUGUUUUCUAAAAAGCUGUCAAAAAUUCAACAGGUUGUUUUACCUUAGAAGUUUUUGAAAAGGUUUUGAAAAACUUGGUUGACUUUGCUGUCAAACCAAAACAAUCGAUUGUUUCGACAAAACAACCGAUUGUUUUCCUGCAAACCUUAACAAAAUUCUGUUAAGCGGUUUUAAUAUGUUUUAAAUGAUCCUAACUAACUUGACUCCUUUAUUAAAUGCUUUUGACCACUUGGUUGGUCUGUAUAAAGGUGGUUUUACGCUCCUAAUCUUGGAGUAACAGAAAGAGUUUAUCAAAACAGUUUUUCCAAGAUUUGAAAGAGCUUUGGAUCAUUCUUAAGUGUGUGAAAUAGGAUUGGGUUGUAAUUCUGAACUUUAAGCUUUGUAAUACCAAGGUGUAUUCUAUUCCCUUCUUCCUUGAUUACUGUAUUUCUGUAGUUGUGUUGCCAAGGAGUGUUGUGUGUUCUUGAUGUGUUUAAGAUCAACAUUCUUGGUGUGGUUUGCCAAAGGUAGUGUGUUUCUUGAGGGGUUCAAGGUCACUACUUUGGUGUGUGGUGUUUGUAAUCUGGUUUUGAUUGCAUAGUGGAAUACCCAGUGGUUUCUGGGGACUGGAUGUAGCUCUUGGUGUAAGAAUGAACCAGUAUAGAUUGUUUGUGUGCUUAUAUCUUACCAUUAACUCUUUAAAUUCUGUUUUUAAGUUGUUUUUAUAAACUGCUCAUAAAAACAACCGAUUGUUUUUCUGAUAUCAUCUUAAAACAGUUUUGGGUAUUUGUUUCCUUGAUUCUUUUCUCUGCAAUUCAGCAUUGAUUUUCAUGCGCUUCUUCAAAAGACUCAGCUCCCACAUCACGAAUCAUGUCCUUCAAUCGAUCAUCAUCUACAUCAUCAUUUAUUGCAUCAUCCAUGUUAGACCUCACAUAUUCUUCAGUUACGGAAACACGUGGUAAAUUUAAUAAUUCACCAUGCCAUGUCCAAGUUGUAUAAGAUUGAAGAAACCCAUCACACAGAAGGUUCUUCAUGAUUAUCUUAACAUCCAGUAUCCUUCCAUUCAAACAGUUAACACACAGAUACCUAAUCUUUUCUCCAUCAUGACCAGUAUUAUUCGCGUUACGCUGCACAAAUUAUAUAAAUUCUUCUACUCCUCUUUCGUACUCAUCACUCAUGAGAACAAAAUUAAUCCAAUUUCAAUCCAUUAUAUUUUGUAAUAGUCAUUCAGGUGUUUUCUAAUAAGUGUUCUAUCUCACGCGUUUGCCGAGGGUCGAACACCCCCGGACUCUGUACCAUCGCGUAUCAAUUAUCGAGGGUCGAACACCCUCGAACUCAAUACCAACACAAUAAUUCUAUUCUAAACUAACAACUAACAUAAUAUAAAUUAAUAAUAAAUACAAAUUAAAUAAAUACUAAAUAAUAUAAAUUUAAAAAAUACAAAUUAUAAUAAAUAAAAAAUAAACAAAUUCAUAUGAUUAAAAAGAUCAAAAAAAUUUAAAACACCACCAACCUUGUGCGUGAAGGCAACAUUGGUGAAGAGUGGCACGGGACCGACAGCAACAGCGGACACAGCAGCAACAAAGGAGCAAAGUAAAACCCACACAAGAAGCGACAAGGGCAAUGAAACAGUACUUCGAGCAAUGUAAGAAAACAAACCAAGUAAGAGAAACGAAAAAGAUUUAUAAACCAUUGGUGAAGAAGAAAGAGAGCUUGAACAAACUUACAAUGGCACAACAACACAAUGAAGCUCGCAGAAGAAGAGAGGAACACCAGAGCAGGAACAGAGCAAAGCGCAAAGAAGAGAAAGAAAAUAUGAAAAUGUAAGUGGCGCGCUUUAGAGUUAGGGUAAAAAAUGAUUUAAGAAUGCAACUAUUUGUAAUAGUUGCAUUCUUAAAAUCAUGCAUUUUGAUUUAAGAAUUGCAUUAAUUUAAGAAUGCAACUAUUAAAAUAAUUACAUUCGUAAAUGAAGUUAAUUUAAAAAAUGUCACCACGUUUUAAAUAAAUGCAUUUAACCGUAAAAGCACAUUAAAUAAAUAUUCGUUGUUUUUUUAAUUUUCGGUUCCUUCACAUAAAAACUGUACAAAAGAAAUAUGUGAAGUAACGAACAUGCAUUUGAGAAAUUCAUGCCUGCAUGUUGAAAUUGGAAGGAUGGAUCAAUUGCAAAUAUUGUAGACCCCAUUAAUCAACGGUUCUCGAAAGGAAAUAAUGAGAUGUAUCCACAUUGGGUGAGUAUGUGUUCAAGAAUGGGUGAGUAUGUGUUCAAGAAGAUAGGGAUGUCAGACCAACCAUGGCUACUGUUGUACUCAUGCUUAAUAGUUAUUCUCUCACUCUCCCAUUGCCUUCAGAACCUACAUUUGUUGUGGAUAGUAGCACAAGAAGCUUUCCAAACAUGUUGGCAUGGGAGCAUAAUUAAAGGGAAAGUGGAUCGAGUGAAACCACAAACAAAUAAAGUCAAUAUUCAGUAAAUGAGGAGGCUUCAAUUAUUGAGUCAUACUCUAGCUAAUUUGAUAUAACAUGGGUAAUUUGAGACUUAAGUUACAUGUUUCUACGUAUAAUGAAAAAUUAAUUGUGCUUGUCUUGUUUUUUAAGGGCUUCCAAUCAAUGGAACUUUUUAAUUAAAAUUAUUCUUAUAGUAUAUUGAUAUUAACUUUAAGAUCAAUCCAUUUAACACUACAAAAAAACUAAUAUAUUAAGAUAGCAUAAAAUUUAACAUAUCAUUCAUAGUUGUUACCAUUAUAUAAGUUAUCUAAACUAAAAAUAUCAAACUCUUAUACUAAUAUUUUAACAUUAUGUGUAUCAUUAAUCACUCAGUCAAUGACAUAGUCUUUCUUGAAAUUGUUUUAUCACAUACAACUUAUCUCUUACGAAUGGAUAACUAAUACCAAUCAUAAGUUGUGUAUGAAAUUCACGACUUCAAUAUAAAAUAAUAUCAUUAAAGUUAGAUACGAGUGACACAAGUUCAAUUAUAUUAAUUUACACUAAGUCGUGUUUCAAUAAUAUGACUUUAAUUAUCAAUAAUCACUUAGUCAAGCAAAUUUGUGUCUCACUUUUUUUUAUUGUUUUUGAAACAAAAUUAUGUAUGUAUAACAUGAUUAUAAUAUGAUUAUAAUAUGGACCGACAUUAACAUAAAUACUGAAGUAGUGUUGGUACUAAAGGACUUCUUCAUAUGAAAAUAAAAAAAUUGUGAAACAACUUAUCCAUUUUAGUAAAUAAAAAAAGUUAUUCAUUAGAUUAAUAAUAAUAAUAAUAAUUGGUGCAAAACCUCUCUUGUGAGUGAUACUUGAAAGUUUAAUAUAUUUGUAAGGAAGUAAAUUUUCACCUUUAGUUAUUUAAGGACUGCAGUUCGAAUGGUUAGUCUCAAUAAGAAGCAAUUCUAAUCUAUCAUGGAUUUAUUAGAAGUGAUUUUUAUCGUGAUGACACUUCUAUACAGUUCAGACUCGGAUAGAUGAAUUUUUAGAAUACUUAACCAAGAGGCCGAUCCAUUGAUGGUCAUUGUAUUCCGUCCCAACUAUAAUCAGAAAAAAAGUGAUCUUGGCUUUCACAAAUUACAAAAUGAACACGGGUUUCUCCAAUGGUCCCGCUGGACAGCUAUCCAUGCCCUGUCUCCGCGUAACUUUGCGACUAUACAAAAACAUUUUUCAAUUAUUCGCUCCAAACUCCAAAACCUUGCCGCACAAUUUGGUUAACUAUAGCACAAGAGAAACGCGUUAUCAAGCUGCCACUUAGCUCCACUCCACUCACCAUCCCUCAUAAUUCUUCACUUCAUCAAUACGCCUUCUCCCUUCAAUCACCACCCUCACUAUANNNNNNNNNNNNNNNNNNNNNNNNNNNNNNNNNNNNNNNNNNNNNNNNNNNNNNNNNNNNNNNNNNNNNNNNNNNNNNNNNNNNNNNNNNNNNNNNNNNNCAAAUGGCCUCUCUUACAUCCUCAAGCCUUCUCCUCACUCUUCUUCUGGCUGUUUCCAUUCUUGGUUUCAGUUCAGCCAGGAAGCUCAGUGAGUCAGAUUCCCAGUUACAGUUCCAAUACCACAGAGGACCUCUCCUCACAGGCAAAAUCUCCGUCAACCUCAUUUGGUACGGCAACUUCAAACCUUCCCAGAAAGCCAUCGUCACUGACUUCAUCACCUCCCUCUCCUCUCCCAAACCCCUCACACCCCAACCAUCGGUUGCCACGUGGUGGAAAGCCACCCAAAAAUACUACAAAAC